CUUUUACGGAGAGUUUGAUCCUGGCUCAGGAUGAACGCUGGCGGCGUGCUUAACACAUGCAAGUCGAACGGUGAAGCAGAGCUUGCUCUGUGGAUCAGUGGCGAACGGGUGAGUAACACGUGAGCAACCUG
rnacentral:rRNA from 1 species